rnacentral:tRNA from 1 species
GGAGAGAUGGCUCAGUGGUUAAGAGCACUGGUUGCGCCUCCAGAUGAUCUGGGUUUGAUUCUCAGCUCCC